UCGAGUGGAUGAAUCAAACUUUGACAGCAACUCAAAUAAUUCAUAGGAAAGUCCAGUAUUGACAUCAAUAAGUGUGAUGAGAGGAAGAAGAAGCGAUCUAAUAAUAUCCAGCCAUAAUGUCCGACUCUCAGAGCUAUUAUCGACACAUUUUUGACCAAUGCGGCAAAGCUUUGUCACUAUAACAGGAUCAUGACACAGAGCAAGCCCUGACAAACGUAACCAUGGGAUAGCUAUGUUGUAGAACUCUGUCAAGUUACGUAAAAUUGGU